rnacentral:ncRNA from 1 species
UUAGGGAAAGUUUGAAUCUGGCUUUGGCUCUAUUUUGAGUUAAAUCUAUAUAUAAACAGGGGAUUUAAAUAAAACAAUAAGUAGUAGUAAGUUUUAGGAAACAAAUAUUUGGGCCUAGUUAAACUCAUAGAAUUGACUAAAAUCGUGCCAGCCGUCGCGGUUAGACGAAGAAUUUUAGUAGAGUAAAAGUUUUGUUUAGUUAACAUUCGAUCUCGUAAAAGAUGGUGAAAUUUUGUUGAUAAGGUGAAAUUUUUAAUUUAAGGGAAAUUCUUAAGAAAUCUGUUGAGACUAAAAAAUUUAGGUAAAAAACCAGGAUUAGAUACCCUGUUAUUCUAAAUAAUAGUUUAAAUAGGGUAGUAAAAGUUGUUCUUCAAACCCAAAGAUUUUGGCGGCAUCUUAUCCUAAUAGAGGAGCUUGUCCUAUAAUUGAUAGUCCCCAUUUUAUCUUACCCUUUUUUUGUUAAGCUUGUAUACCGCCGUUGUCAGAUUACUUUAAAAGAACGUUUUCAGGAAAAAUAUUUUUCUUACUUCAGGUCAAGGUGCAGUUUAUAAAAGGGCAGUGAUGAGCUACAAUUUUUAAUAGAAAUACGGAUUUUAGGCUUAAAACUCAGGUGAAGGUGGAUUUAUUAGUAAAUUUACUUAAGUACAGUAAGUUGAAUAAGGCAAUAGGAUGUGCACAUAUCGCCCGUCACUCUCUUCUCAAGAGGAGAUAAGUCGUAACAAAGUAGAUGUACUGGAAAGUGCAUCUAGAAUGA